rnacentral:rRNA from 1 species
AACGAACGCUGGCGGCAUGCCUAACACAUGCAAGUCGAACGAGACCUUCGGGUCUAGUGGCGCACGGGUGCGUAACGCGUGGGAAUCUGCCAUUGGGUUCGGAAUAACAGUUGGAAACGACUGCUAAUACCGGAUGAUGACGUAAGUCCAAAGAUUUAUCGCCCAAGGAUGAGCCCGCGUAGGAUUAGCUAGUUGGUGAGGUAAAGGCUCACCAAGGCGACGAUCCUUAGCUGGUCUGAGAGGAUGAUCCGCCACACUGGGACUGAGACACGGCCCAGACUCCUACGGGAGGCAGCAGUGGGGAAUAUUGGACAAUGGGCGAAAGCCUGAUCCAGCAAUGCCGCGUGAGUGAUGAAGGCCUUAGGGUUGUAAAGCUCUUUUACACGGGAUGAUAAUGACAGUACCGGGAGAAUAAGCUCCGGCUAACUCCGUG